AUUGAACGCUGGCGGCAGGCCUAACACAUGCAAGUCGAGCGAGCGGCGGACGGGUGAGUAAUGUAUGGGGGCUGCCCGCUAUAUGUGGAUAACUACUCGAAACGCUGGCUCAUCCCGCAUACUGUCUGAUUACCCACAUGUGAUUAGCUAGUAGGUAAGGUAAUGGCUUACCUCGGCGACGCUCCCUAGCGGGUCUGAGAGGAUGAUCAGCCAAACUGGGACUGAGACACGGCCCAGACUCCUACGGAGGAAGCAGUGGGGAAUAGUGCACAAUGGGCGCAAGCCUGAUGCAGCCAUGCCGCGUGUAUGAAGAAGGCCCUAGGGUUGUAAAGUACUUUCAGUCGGGAGGCGUUACCGACAGAAGAAGCACCGGCUAACUCCGUGCCAGCAGCCGCGGUAAUAC
rnacentral:rRNA from 1 species